rnacentral:rRNA from 1 species
AUCGAACGCUGGCGGCAUGCCUUACACAUGCAAGUCGAACGGCAGCACGGGGCAACCUGGUGGCGAGUGGCGAACGGGUGAGUAAUGCAUCGGAACGUACCUUUCAGUGGGGGAUAACGUAGCGAAAGUUACGCUAAUACCGCAUAUUCUGUGAGCAGGAAAGCAGGGGAUCGCAAGACCUUGCGCUGAUUGAGCGGCCGAUGUCAGAUUAGCUAGUUGGUGAGGUAAAGGCCAACCAAGGCGACGAUCUGUAGCGGGUCUGAGAGGAUGAUCCGCCACACUGGAACUGAGACACGGUCCAGACUCCUACGGGAGGCAGCAGUGGGGAAUUUUGGACAAUGGGGGCAACCCUGAUCCAGCCAUGCCGCGUGAGUGAAGAAGGCCUUCGGGUUGUAAAGCUCUUUCGGCCGGGAAGAAAUCGCACGGGCUAAUACCCUGUGUGGAUGACGGUACCGGAAUAAGAAGCACCGGCUAACUACGUGCCAGCAGCCGCCGUAAUAC